rnacentral:rRNA from 1 species
CCGCCCGUCGCUCCUACCGAUUGAAUGAUCCGGUGAAGUGUUCGGAUCGCGGCGACGUGGGUGGUUCGCCGUCUGCGACGUCGCGAGAAGUCCACUAAACCUUAUCAUUUAGAGGAAGGAGAAGUCGUAACAAGGUUUCCGUAGGUGAACCUGCGGAAGGAUCAUUGUCGAUGCCUGUCCGAACAGAACGACCAGCGAACCAACGAUCAUCACCCACGGCGGGCUGGUUUUUCAAACCACGUCCGCCGGUUCCGUGGUUGUGCGAACUGUACCCAUGAAGAGAGUUUUCUCUCGAUUGGGUCGUCCGCACAGCUUCCGGAUAUCACAAAACCCCGGCACGAAAAGUGUCAAGGAACAUGCAACCGAACAGCUUGCUUCCGACGCCCCGGAGACGGUGCGCGUACGGAUGCUGUGCUGCGAUAUUAAAGUCUAAAACGACUCUCGGCAACGGAUAUCUCGGCUCUCGCAUCGAUGAAGAACGUAGCGAAAUGCGAUACUUGGUGUGAAUUGCAGAAUCCCGUGAACCAUCGAGUCUUUGAACGCAAGUUGCGCCCCAAGCCUUCUGGCCGAGGGCACGUCUGCCUGGGUGUCACAAAUCGUCGUCCCCCCACCCAUUUUUUAUGGUUAAGGGACGGAAGCUGGUCUCCCGUGUGAUACCGCAUGCGGUUGACCGAAAUCUGAGUUGGAGACGUUUGGAUCUUCUCGACAUGCGGUGGUGAAAUCAUAUUUCCUCUCAUUGUGUCGGUUGAUCCUGUCUUUGAACUCUCGAUGACCC